GGGUCAGUAGGUUGGUCGUGCCACCGGUACGUACUGGUCUCACUGAUUCCUCCUUCCUGAAGAACCGUAAUGCCAUUAAUUUGGUGUUGCGGGGAAACAGGACUGUUACUUUGAAAAAAUUAGAGUGUUUAAAGCAAGCCAACGCUUGAAUACGUUAGCAUGGAAUAAUGAAAUAGGACGAUCGAUCCUAUUUUGUUGGUUUCUAGGAUUGACGUA
rnacentral:rRNA from 1 species